rnacentral:rRNA from 1 species
UCGGGAAUUUUGGACAAUGGGCGCAAGCCUGAUCCAGCCAUGCCGCGUGGAUGAUGAAGGCCUUAGGGUUGUAAAAUCCUUUCGCCGAGGACGAUAAUGACGGUACUCGGAGAAGAAGCUCCGGCUAACUUCGUGCCAGCAGCCGCGGUAAUACGAAGGGGGCUAGCGUUGUUCGGAUUUACUGGGCGUAAAGCGCGUGUAGGCGGGUCGUUAAGUUGGGGGUGAAAUCCCGAGGCUCAACCUCGGAACUGCCUUCAAAACUGGCGACCUGGACCUAAGUAGAGGCAAGUGGAAUUGCGAGUGUAGAGGUGAAAUUCGUAGAUAUUCGCAGGAACACCAGUGGCGAAGGCGACUUGCUGGACUUAUGGUGACGCUGAGACGCGAAAGCGUGGGGAGCAAACAGGAUUAGAUACCCACGUAGUCCCUGAGCGGGCUGGCAAGGCGCAU